rnacentral:rRNA from 1 species
UACGAAGGGGGCUAGCGUUGUUCGGAAUUACUGGGCGUAAAGCGCACGUAGGCGGAUAUUUAAGUCAGGGGUGAAAUCCCAGAGCUCAACUCCGGAACUGCCCUUGAUACUGGGUGUCUUGAGUGUGAGAGAGGUAUGUGGAACUCCGAGUGUAGAGGUGAAAUUCGUAGAUAUUCGGAAGAACACCAGUGGCGAAGGCGACUCGCUGGACAAGUAUUGACGCUGAGGUGCGAAAGCGUGGGGAGCAAACAGG